AUUCCAGCUCCAAUAGCGUAUAUUAAAGUUGUUGCAGUUAAAAAGCUCGUAGUUGGAUUUGUGGAUGGGCCGACGGGUGUUCUCUUUUGAGCAUAACCUGUUUAGCUCGUCCAUCCUUGGGUGGAAUUUGUGUGGCAUUAGGUUGUCGUGCAGGGGAUGCCCAUCUUUUACUGUGAAAAAAUUAGAGUGUUCAAAGCAGGCUUAUGCCGUUGAAUAUAUUAGCCUGGAAUAAUGAGAUAGGACCUUGGUUCUAUUUUGUUGGUUUGCGCACCGAGGUAAUGAUUAAUAGGGACAGUUGGGGGUAUUCGUAUUCCAUUGUCAGAGGUGAAAUUCUUGGAUUUUUGGAAGACGAACUACUGCGAAAGCAUUUACCAAGGAUGUUUUC
rnacentral:rRNA from 1 species